AACUGAGUAUUUAAUACAUUCUUAGAGUAGAAGGAAUGCAACAAUAAUUAUAAUUUCAUAAUAUAUAUUAGACAUUUAUGUGAAAGAUGUUCCAUUUUUCAAAGAAGUUUCUCCUACUAACUUUUUUCUCUCUCUUCCUUAGAGCAAUAAACAGUAAUUACUACUCUUACAGAUAAGCUGCUCCACUGAGUUGGACAGUAAUUACAUCUUUGUUUCAAGUCUUAUCAUCUCCAAAAACUACCUUUCAUUUCACUGCAGUCUCAUUGCAUUGUUUCACAGUAAAAUUAUACUCCUCAAAUUUGAAGAGCCUGAAUAAAAGCUAGAGGCCCAAGGAUUUUUAGGUACCGAUUUAGUAACAGUGUCUACUUGCACAAACCUUCUAUUUAUUCAGAUUUUAAAAACUGCAAGAAAAGAAAUCUACAUUAAUGAAAAAGAACUCAGGAAUGAGAUCAUUAAAUAUAACUAACUACAUUUUAAAUACAAAUACCAGGGAUUUCUGAUUAGUGUCAGGUAAAUAUCUAAACUAUCUAUCCCGAUUCUGGUCUUAGGGAAAAAGAUCAGUGACAAUUAUAAACAAGAUGCUUCAUAUUAUCAGGUCCAUUUUUAAAACAAUGAGAUCCUUUGGGACAACCACUUUAGUCUUUCUUUUUAUCACAGAUUUCUGUUGGUCCUCUUGUUGGUAAUCCAUUUAUGUCUGCACCCUAAAAUGAAAAACCAUUUUAGAUAUUAUCACAAAAAAAGACAGACAUUAUAAGACACAGUCUCUUUAAAAACAAAAACUUUAGAAUGAAAAUACUACUUCUAGAAAUGUACAGGCAGCUAAAUUCAUGCAAUUGAACACAAAGUUGAAUUUAACAAGCACCAAAGCAAAAGAUAAGAGUUGUCUAACUGGUCAUUAAAAAAAAAAAAAAACCUAUUAGAAAAAAAUCUCCAUAUAAUCCUACCAAUUAAAUCUCUUAUCAAGGCUAUCAAUAAGUGAAACUCAUAUCAGCUCUUCUCAUCUGUUAACUAUUUACCAUUACUCUUACCAACUGGAAAUAUUAUUUAGCCUUAAAGCAAGGAGCAAAUGCAUAAAUCAGAGAACUAAAUUAAAAUCUUAGUCUACAGCAACUGAUAACUACUUAAAUUAAAAAAACAAAAACAAACCUAGGGAGUUCCCAUUGUGGCUCAGUGGUAAUGAACCUAACUAGUAUCCAUGAGGAUGAAAUUUUAAUCCCUGGCCUUACUCAGUGGGUUAAGGAUCUGGCAUUGCCCUGAGUUAUGGUGUAGGUCGUAGACGGCUGGGGAAAGGCUUGGUUCCCACAUUGCUAUGGCUGUGGCGCAGGCUGGCAGCUACAGCUCCAAUGUGACCCCUAGCCUGGGAACUCCCAUAUGCUGCAGGUACGGCCCUAAAAAAAAAACCCCAAAAACCAAAAACCAAAAACACCCAAACCACUAUUUUAUUUUAUUUUAUUUUAUUUUUUUUGUCUUUUUGCUAUUUCUUUGGGCCGCUCCUGCGGCAUAUGGAGGUUCCCAGGCUAGGGGUCCAAUCGGAGCUGUGGCUGCCAGCCUACGCCGGAGCCACAGCAACACGGGAUCCGAGCCGCGUCUGCAACCUACACCACAGCUCACGGCAACGCCGGAUCGUUAACCCACUGAGCAAGGGCAGGGAUCGAACCCGCAACAUCAUGGUUCCUAGUCGGAUUCGUUAACCACUGCGCCACGACGGGAACUCCCCAAACCACUAUUUUAAAACAGAAGGAAAUUAAGACACACUAAUGAAGCUUCCCAAAGCCAAGUAUUUUAACCUGACUGUACUACCCAGCCCCACUGCCUUCUUCAGGGCAUUUUAAUGCUCUUACCUUAUAGUCCACUUUGCCUUUGUUUUUAUCAUUGCAGUCUCGUACAGCUUUCUUAGGCCACAUACGGCUAACAAAGGGGGAGAUGAGAGGGUAUAUAUAUGGUUCCAGGAAUUUUUUGUAGACCCAGAGCAGAACUGGAAUGACAAUGCAGGGAAUGCACACCAUUGUCCCAGGCUCGAGAUCCUCAACUGCUGGCAAAUGUGAAGAAAAACCAAAUUAAAGCAUCACAGAUUUACCUAGGUUAAGAUAUUUGAAAAGACUAUUUCUAGAUGGAAGGAAAAACUUCAAUCACGUUUCAUUUUUUAGCUUACUAUUAAAUAAAAACACUAUCUGCGAGGUAAUGGAAUAAGAGAUGGCAGACUCAAAAAUAUUAUCGAGGGAGUUCCCCUCAUGGCUCAGAGGAUAACGAACCCAAUUAGGAUCCAUGAGGAUUUGAGUGCAAUCCCUGGUCUCACUCAGUGGGUUAAGGAUCCGGCAUUGCCAUGAGCUGUGGUGUAGGUCACAGAUGUGGCUUGGAUCCCAUGUUGCUAUGGCUGUGACAUAGGCCAGCAACUGUAGCUCCAAUUCGACCCCUGGCCUGGGAAAUUCCAUAUGCUGUGAGUGUGGCCCUAAAACAGCAAAGGGAAAAAGAGAAAAAAAAUUAAAAAAUAAAGAAAACAGUAUCAAGGUGCCUGCCUCCAAAGCACUCCAAUCACUACUCCUCAAACAUAAGUUUGAUGAUAAAGAUGACACCAACAUUGUGGGGUGCUAGGCAGUUAAGCCCUUUACAUAUAUCAAUUCCUUUAAUCCUCAAAAAACCCAGUGAGGUUGGGUACCCUGACAUCUUUAAAGAUAAAGAAAAGGGGAGUUCCUGUUGUGGCUCAGUAGUAACGAACUCAACUAGUAUACAUGAGGAGAUGGGUUCAAUCCCUGGCCUCACUCAGUGGGUUAAGGAUCCAGCACAGCUGUGAGCUGUGGUGUAGGUCACAGACUUGGCUUGGAUCCUACGUUGCUGUGGCUGUGGUGUAGGCCGGCAGCUACAGUUCUGAUUCAACCCCUAGCCUGGCAACUUCUAUAUGCCGUGGGUGAGGCGCAAAAAAAAAAAAGGGGGGGGGGGAGGGGGGAUAAAGAAAAGGCGUCACAAAAACAUUAAGGAACUUGGUAAUUUUGACAUAUUCAGUUAAGCAUUAACUCCCAGGGGCUAAUCAUCUUCAGGAACUGACAAUAUCCAUCAGCCAAUUUACAAGGUUUAAAGGCAAAUCCUGUAACAUGGAACACAUUAAGAUACCACUUUGGAAGACCUCUAGGCUGCAAACCUUCUGGCCUUUUCCAGGGAACAUCUCUUUUGAUGUAUUUUCUUUUUCUUUUUUUGGCCACACCUGCAGCAAGUGGAAGUUCCUGGGCCAGAAAUGGAACCUGAACUGGUGACAACACUGAAUCCUUAACCCACUGAGCCACAAGGAAACUCCAGCUUUUUCUUUUUAAUAGCAAUUAAGGCAUAUCGAGUAACAAAAAUUUUUAUAUAGCAUUACUGUUGGAAUAAGUAAAUUAUCUAUUUCCAAAAUUUUUCACCUAAUUUUCCUUGAAAUUAUCUCAAAUUUUUUUUUUGUAAAUAAAUCUUUAUUUUGGACUUUAUAAAAAGCAAUGCAGUACCCCCAGACUGGUAUUAAAUGUUGUUUACAGGAGUUUCCGUCGUGGCUCAGUGGUUAACAAAUCCAACUAGGAACCAUGAGGUUGAGGGUUCAAUCCCUGGCCUCGCUCAGUGGGUUAAAGAUCCGGCGUUGCCAUGAGCUGUGGUGUAGGCCGCAGAUGCAUCUGCAGCUGAAGCUCUGAUUUGACCCCUAGCCAGGGAACUUCCAUAUGUUGCAGAUACAGCUGUAAAAAAAGAAAAAAAAUUAUUCACAAUACAAGUGAAGAAUGGCAUAGAUAAUCCAAUCCAAAUGUGGCUUUGAAAUGAAUUAUAAAAGCUAUAAAUAAAUGAAUAUGUAAAUAUAGGAGUUCCCUGGCGGCCUACUGGUUAAGGAUCUGGCCUUGUCACUGCUGUGGCCCGGGAC
rnacentral:lncRNA from 1 species